rnacentral:rRNA from 1 species
UACGGGGGGGGGCAAGCGUUGUUCGGAAUUACUGGGCGUAAAGGGCUCGUAGGCGGCCAACUAAGUCGGAUGUGAAAUCCCCAGGCUUAACCUGGGAACUGCAUCCGAUACUGGAUGGCUUGAAUUCGGGAGAGGGAUGCAGAAUUCCAGGUGUAGCGGUGAAAUGCGUAGAUAUCUGGAGGAAUACCGGUGGCGAAGGCGGCAUCCUGGACCGAGAUUGACGCUGAUGAGCGAAAGCUAGGGGGAGCAAACGGG